CUGCAGUCGAGCGGAGAGAGGUAGCUUGCUACUGAUCUUAGCGGCGGACGGGUGAGUAACUUAGGAAUCUGCCUAUUAGUGGGGGACAACAUUUCGAAAGAAAUGCUAAUACCGCAUACGUCCUACGGGAGAAAGCAGGGGAUCUUCGGACCUUGCGCUAAUAGAUGAGCCUAAGUCGGAUUAGCUAGUUGGUGGGGUAAAGGCCUACCAAGGCGACGAUCUGUAGCGGGUCUGAGAGGAUGAUCCGCCACACUGGGACUGAGACACGGCCCAGACUCCUACGGGAGGCAGCAGUGGGGAAUAUUGGACAAUGGGCGCAAGCCUGAUCCAGCCAUGCCGCGUGUGUGAAGAAGGCCUUAUGGUUGUAAAGCACUUUAAGCGAGGAGGAGGCUACUUUAGUUAAUACCUAGAGAUAGUGGACGUUACUCGCAGAAUAAGCACCGGCUAACUCUGUGCCAGCAGCCGCGGUAAUACAGAGGGUGCAAGCGUUAAUCGGAUUUACUGGGCGUAAAGCGCGCGUAGGUGGCUAAUUAAGUCAAAUGUGAAAUCCCCGAGCUUAACUUGGGAAUUGCAUUCGAUACUGGUUGGCUAGAGUGUGGGAGAGGAUGGUAGAAUUCCAG
rnacentral:rRNA from 1 species